rnacentral:rRNA from 1 species
AACGAACGCUGGCGGCAGGCUUAACACAUGCAAGUCGAGCGCCCCGCAAGGGGAGCGGCAGACGGGUGAGUAACGCGUGGGAAUCUACCCAUCUCUACGGAAUAACGCAUGGAAACGUGUGCUGAUACCGUAUACGUCCUUCGGGAGAAAGAUUUAUCGGAGAUGGAUGAGCCCGCGUUGGAUUAGCUAGUUGGUGGGGUAAAGGCCUACCAAGGCGAUGAUCCAUAGCUGGUCUGAGAGGAUGAUCAGCCACACUGGGACUGAGACACGGCCCAGACUCCUACGGGAGGCAGCAGUGGGGAAUAUUGGACAAUGGGCGCAAGCCUGAUCCAGCCAUGCCGCGUGAGUGAUGAAGGCCCUAGGGUUGUAAAGCUCUUUCACCGGUGAAGAUAAUGACGGUAACCGGAGAAGAAGCCCCGGCUAACUUCGUGCCAGCCGCCGCCGUAAAAC